rnacentral:rRNA from 1 species
AACGAACGCUGGCGGCGCGCCUAACACAUGCAAGUCGAGCGUGAAAGGGGGCAACCCCGAGUAAAGCGGCGCACGGGUGAGUAACACGUGGGUAAUCUGCCCUGGGUGAUCGGGAUAACCAGCCGAAAGGUUGGCUAAUACCGGAUCAGACCACGGGACCUUCGGGUCCUGCGGUGAAAGGAUGGCGUCCGCAAGGAGCUAUCGCCCCAGGAUGAGCCCGCGGCCCAUCAUGCUAGUUGGUAGGGUAACGGCCUACCAAGGCUAAGAAGGGGAGCUGGUCUGAAAGGACGAUCAGCCACACUGGAACUGAGACACGGUCCAGACUCCUACGGGAGGCAGCAGUGGGGAAUCUUGCGCAAUGGACGAAAGUCUGACGCAGCGACGCCGCGUGUGGGAUGAAGGCCUUCGGGUCGUAAACCACUGUCGAGAGGGACGAACAAGGUGCCGGUGAAUAAUCGGCGCCCCUGACGGUACCUCUAAAGGAAGCUACGGCUAACUCUGUGCCAGCAGCCGCAGUAA